rnacentral:snRNA from 1 species
GAGCUCACUCCAGCAGCACAUAUACUAAGCUUGGAACAAUACAGAGAUUGGCAUGGCCCCUGCACAAGGAGGACACGCAAAUUCAUGAAGCGUUCCAUACUUAA